rnacentral:rRNA from 1 species
CCUACGGGUGGCAGCAGUCGAGAAUCAUUCACAAUGGGGGAAACCCUGAUGGUGCGACGCCGCGUGGGGGAAUGAAGGUCUUCGGAUUGUAAACCCCUGUCAUGUGGGAGCAAAUUAAAAAGAUAGUACCCCAAGAGGAAGAGACGGCUAACUCUGUGCCAGCAGCCGCGGUAAUACAGAGGUCUCAAGCGUUGUUCGGAAUCACUGGGCGUAAAGCGUGCGUAGGCUGUUUCGUAAGUCGUGUGUGAACUGCGCGGGCUCAACCCGCGGACGGCACAUGAUACUGCGAGACUAGAGUAAUGGAGGGGGAACCGGAAUUCUCGGUGUAGCAGUGAAAUGCGUAGAUAUCGAGAGGAACACUCGUGGCGAAGGCGGGUUCCUGGACAUUAACUGACGCUGAGGCACGAAGGCCAGGGGAGCGAAAGGGAUUAGAUACCCCAGUAGUC